ACCUUAACAUUUUAAACUAUAUCCGCAUAGUUAAAUAGUGGACACUUUCGUCACCCGACCUACAGUCGGUUCCAUGGUCAAGUGUACAAAGUGGAAAACAGGAAUGCAACUUGUACAACUGUUAAACACCUCGGUGUUCUUAUAAAAUUUGUUAUAAAACAAAUUGUAGCUGAGUUUAUUUCCAAUAUGAGACUGUACGGUAGGCAUAUUGGAACUGAAACACUGUUUCCAAGACAUCUGCAAGCUCAAACGUCAUGGAAAUUCGUUGAUUGCCGUUUAUUACGCCUGAAUGACUUCAUAAUUUUAAUGGUUUAGAAUAGGCUUUCUGGAAUAGGCAUUAAAUCCUAAUAAUUUACCCUCAAAAUGUACUAAAGCACAGAAGCUUGCAUUAUAUUAGUUAUCAAACACACAUUUAUUCAUCAAUUAAAAUUUACAUAGAAAAACUAAGAUACAACAUCUUAAUAAUUACGUUAGAAAUUAGGAUCAAUGGUUUGACAAUGGAGAAAAUGACGUCCGGUUGAACUCAUUUGUGUCGCCAAUAGCAACGGAGUAGCAUAACGCGGUAUCAUGACGUAACACUGUAGUACUCUAUGGUAGUCGUGGUGGUACGCAGUAAGUUUAGGUCGCCCGCACUGAAAACCGAUUGCACCGGUUUAGUGUAGUGGUUGGCCUCCACGCGUCAAAGAGUAAUCUAGUGUGAACCACAUGUAUAUCGUGAGAAACGAUGUUCAGCUGAUGAGGACGAUGAUGACGAUAUCCAUGAAAUAUCAUAGUAAUAAUAUUUACUAUCAUGAUGAUUAUUAUGAAACUAAUGAUGGUCUUUGUAAAAAUGUUGAUGAUCUCAAUUUAUUUCUUGGUUUGAUCUGACGCUGUAUUUUAGUUGUGGUAGAGGUGUUCAAGAACGUUUUUAGUGAUUAUUUUAUAUUUUGUGAUCGUAGAAUUUUGUUUUUAGCUUUCUGUUCCUUUAACCGCAAAGUGACAUAAAAUCUUUCCAACAACACCACAUUACACUAAAACAUCUAAGCACUCUAACAAGUCACAAAUGUCGUCCGUCAACAUAAAGAAACAUUUUCCAACAAUCCUUCCACAAACUCUAACCGGUUCUAUCUUUGGCAGUAGGCUUGAACCAUUAGAUCAUUGGCGUUGCGCGCUAAACCCUGUCGCUUUACACUGUAUAAACGCGUAAUCAAAUUAUAAGAUUAAUAUUUCUAGAGAUUUAUCUUUGCUCACGUUAUUAAAUAUACUUGUACUAGUCAGCAAUUAUGGACACAAUACUCAAAGCAACUGUUGGUAUUCAAAUAUAUUUUCUCAAUUACCUCGAAACUAAAAGAGAACAUUAUUUUUAUAGGCUUUAGUUUUCAUAAAACACCAUUAUUUUUUGCUCAAACUUUAUAACUUCAGAAUUACAUUUACUGCUAUUAAGAGCAGAUUCCAAAAUGAAUUUAAUAAGCAGGGACACAAAUGAAUUAUGCUGUUCAGUAAUUAUGAACAAAAAUAAACCUAGUUUAAUAAAGUAUAAAUGGAGCUCAGCGACCAUCAAAACCAUAGGCUGGACUGGUCAAUGUUUAUUUCUAAUAUAAAUACGAUAAUAAGUAUAAUGUAUUAUGAUCAUCAUGAUUAAUCAUAACAUUAGUAUUAAUCCUAAAAAUAAAAGGCCUACAUAAUAUUAUAAAUAUAAUAAUACAACAUUUAAUAAUAGUAAUGAAAUUAAGAAGAAUAAUAACAUAUAAACAUGUUAGUGAUAACACUUAACUUUAUCUAAAAAAUUAUAAAAACAAAAAAUAAUAUCAAUAAUCAAGACAAUCAUAAGCAUGAAAACAUAAUCAUAAUUAUAAUCAAACUCGAAAAUAAUCGUAAACAUGUUCAUAAUCUAUAAUAAUAAACGUCAUAGUAAGGUGUCUUCGACACUAACACUUAAUCGUUAAGUACUGACAAAGUUACUGGCACUGCAAUCCGACAAUUGUCAGAGGGUUCGGCAUACUUACACCAUUGGCACGUUGAAUUAUUUUCUAUGGAUAGGCCUGUACCGUAUUUAUUCGAAUAAACGCUCCGGGCCAUUAUUGUUGAGAAGAAUUUAUGAUGGGGCGUUAAUACGAGGAAGGCGUAUAUUCGAGGGUAUAACAUGGAUACGUAUACGUAGACCUACCCAAAUAAACCGCCCUUAAUUGCACUGUAUAUGUGGAACUACAACACAUAAUUACUGUCAAAAUGUGUCAUACAGAUUUAUGGACCCCCCCCCCCCCACCAAAAUAAAA